rnacentral:lncRNA from 1 species
UAGUGACCGUUCGAUGCAUCAUCCAUUACCAUUAUUUGCAGGUGAGGAAUUGAAACCCUCACCGGCCGGUACUGGUUCAAGCUCGCAAGGGCGGUAUGGGUAUGAUUCCAAGCCGAGCGCGCAAGACCAUGUUAGUUUAGAUCUUCAUCUGUAAUUUGAUAAGUAGGAUAAAAGAGAGAACUUGAGAUUUUUCCUAAGAUGGUCAUCAAAGCUUUUAAUGUAAAAAAUGAGGCAAUUCUUCUAUGGAGAGACUCAUGACCACUAGUGUAAUCUUGAGGCAAUUCUUCUACCUUCUUCUAACUUAGUAUUAAUUUCUUUUGUAAAUGAAAUGAUUUACGUACGUGCUCUUGAAUCGAACCCAAAAACACAAGUAUAAUAAAUAUCACAACAUGAGCUGAGGUUUGCGCAGGACUAGAUAGGUUCCUUGAUGCUUUCUAAUGGUAGCUAGUUUAUUAGUAUUCAUGUAUCAUUUUGGAAACAUUCUCCAGCUGAUUUUAAAAGCUAAAAUUCGUUGAUUUAGUCAUUGAAAGUAAGAGAACCAUCUUCAAAAUUCUUACCUAUUAGUGCAAAUAUAAGGCUCUUUUUCAUUGUUAAGUGUGAUUGGAGGUUCACACAGUACCCUAGCCUGAACAAACCUUGUUCAGUGCAAUCUCAGUCUUUCUUCAGAAUUGGUCACA